rnacentral:sRNA from 1 species
AUAUUCAAAAAAUAAAAAAUUAUAAUAAUAUAUCAAGUACUACUUUCAUUUUAUUUUACUUAUUUUUUAAAAUAUUUUUAUCAAUAGUUAUCAAUUUAUAAUAGCUAAAAUUUACUUUGUGUUGUAGUUUAAAUGUUUGCUACCUAACCUCAUAUUAUUUAGUAAUUUUAGUUGGAUAUUUUCUUAUUAUUACGUUAUAUGAAUAUGAUUUAUCAUAUGACCUUCUUUCUGUUUAUAUUUGUGCGUUCUGAUAACUUGGUAACAUUGAUAUACAUUUUUCAAGUAAUGGUCAUCCGAGACAUUAGACAUACCCACACAAAAAACACGAGACUCUAUAUGGCUAUAUGCAAGGGAAGAGAAUUAAAGUGUUGACUUGAAUUACUAGCACAUCAUGAUAUGAUUAGUGUACUAGAUAACAAGAGAAUAUAUGGAAUAAAGAAUUGUUUGUUACAAUUAAGUUAGGCAAGUUUCAAAAUACAUAAGUAAUAUAACUACAUAUUAAUAUAUC